UCUCUCUCUCUCUCUCUCUCUCCAACUUUGAGUCCAUGAGAGCACGCUCAAUGAUGUUUUUCUCAUUGCUUAAAAGGGAGUUCGAUGCAUGAUGACUUCAACUCAAGUAAAAUUUAAAGUAAACAGAGCGGGUUCAUCAAGUCUAAAUCUGCAAGACUUGUUGCUCAACCUGCUGCUGGCUGGCCCGGAAGCUGAGGCGGGAGACAAUCAAUUCCUAAAUUUACACGCACCGCCGUGCUGCAUAUGCAUGUUUGAAAGUUUUCUGUUAUUAAGGGAACCACACUUGUUCAAGAAUAGCUUCUGCUGCUCGAUCGAGUCAUCUUUUUGCAAGGUAUGCAAAGUAGAAAAAUUAGUCUCUUUGUAAUGACAUGCAAAUUCUAAUUAUAACCUUUAUUUUCAACA